UGCGUAGGCGGCUUAUUAAGUCAGAUGUGAAAGCCCCGGGCUUAACCUGGGAACUGCAUUUGAUACUGGUAAGCUAGAGUAUGGUAGAGGGGGUAGAAUUCCUAGUGUAGCGGUGAAAUGCGUAGAUAUUAGGAGGAAUACCAGUGGCGAAGGCGGCCCCCUGGACCAAUACUGACGCUGAGGUACGAAAGCGUGGGUAGCGAACA
rnacentral:rRNA from 1 species